GCGGCGGACGGGUGAGUAAUGCCUAGGAAUCUGCCUAGUAUUGGGGGAUAACUUGCCGAAAGGUAAGCUAAUACCGCAUACGUCCUACGGGAGAAAGCAGGGGACUCUUCGGAGCCUUGCGCUAUUAGAUGAGCCUAGGUCGGAUUAGUUAGUUGGUGAGGUAAUGGCUCACCAAGACUGCGAUCCGUAACUGGUCUGAGAGGAUGAUCAGUCACACUGGAACUGAGACACGGUCCAGACUCCUACGGGAGGCAGCAGUGGGGAAUAUUGGACAAUGGGGGCAACCCUGAUCCAGCCAUGCCGCGUGUGUGAAGAAGGUCUUAGGAUUGUAAAGCACUUUAAGUUGGGAGGAAGGGCAGUUAACUAAUACUUGACUGUUUUGACGUUACCGACAGAAUAAGCACCGGCUAACUUCGUGCCAGCAGCCGCGGUAAUACGAAGGGUGCAAGCGUUAAUCGGAAUUACUGGGCGUAAAGCGCGCGUAGGUGGUUCGUUAAGUUAGGAGUGAAAGCCCCGG
rnacentral:rRNA from 1 species